UACGGAGGGUGCAAGCGUUGUCCGGAUUGAUUGGGUUUAAAGGGUGCGUAGGCGGCUUUAUAAGUCCGUGGUGAAAGCCAACAGCUCAACUGUUGAACUGCCAUGGAUACUGUCAGGCUUGAGUACAGACGAGGUAGGCGGAAUUGAUGGUGUAGCGGUGAAAUGCAUAGAUACCAUCAAGAACCCCGAUUGCGAAGGCAGCUUACUAGGCUGUAACUGACGCUGAGGCACGAAAGCGUGGGGAGCGAACAGG
rnacentral:rRNA from 1 species